CAGCUGCGAGACUUGGUGUGAAUUGCAGGACACAUUGAGCACUGAUUUUUCGAACGCGCAUUGCGGCCUCGGGUCUCGCCCGGGGCCUCGCCUGUCUGAGGGUCGGAUGCGACAUACCGAGAGGUGAACUUUCCUGCCUGCCUUCCUUCCGGUCCCAGUUCCGGAAGUAGUGGUACUUGGAUUGAAAGCCUCACGUGGCCGCUUCGGAGGUUGUUACUACACUCCGUCGGCUCGAGUCUUGGUUCGAUGUUGACAGGGAAGACCUCCUUCGGCGUCGUUCUCGACGUGGCCGUGGGAAAGGCGAGUAAGAAACGUUCUUUCUACAACCAUGGCUCAUCGUUCGAGAUGCCGUAAUUGGAGAUUCUCAUUUGUCGACCUCAGAUC
rnacentral:rRNA from 1 species